GGUUGUGGCUCAGAGGUAGAGCACUUGCCUAGCAUGUGUGAGGCACUGGGUUCGAUUCUCAGCACCA
rnacentral:tRNA from 1 species